rnacentral:rRNA from 1 species
GACGAACGCUGGCGGCGUGCUUAACACAUGCAAGUCGAACGGACAGGCCCUGCUUUUGUGGGGUGCUCGAGUGGCGCACGGGUGAGUAACACGUGAGUAACCUGCCCCUGUCUUUGGGAUAACUUCAGGAAACUGGGGCGAAUACCGGAUAGGAGCUCCUGCAGCAUGGUGGGGGUUGGAAAGUUUCGGCGGUUGGGGAUGGACUCGAGGCUUAUCCGCUUGUUGGUGGGGUAGUGGCUUACCAAGGCUUUGAAGGGUAGCCGGCCUGAGAGGGUGACCGGCCACAUGGGGACUGAGAGACGGCCCAGACGCCUACGGGCGGCAGCAGGGGGGAAUAUGGCGGAAUGGGCGGAAGCCUGAUGCAGAAACGCCGCGUGCGGGAUGACGGGUUUCGGGGUGUAAACCGCUUUCGCCUGUAACGAAGCGUGAGUGACGGUAAUGGGUAAAGAAGCACCGGCUAACUACGUG